GAAUUGUGGAAUUCGCAGACGACGGC
rnacentral:piRNA from 1 species